UGCAGUCUCCAAGAUGAAAACAAAAGUGAGAAACAAAUACAUCAGAUGAUGCUAUGCAGUUCUGAAGGAAAAACAUGUAUUGUGAGAACCCCAACAUUUGUGCAGUGUUUGCUGUACAAGGAGGAAAAGUGAAAAGAAAGCAUGGCAUAAAAAGGGGGAAGAGACUCUGCAUGAGAAGCCCAGCUCAGCAGGCCAGAGGACCCUGGAUCUGUGAGAGUAAGCAUCCAGCCUUUGCAAAGCAGCAGGAAAACUUAGAGAUGCCCAACUUCAGAGUGACCACAGAGUGAGCCUGGGUCUGCAGGU